GCAAAGUACUAGUGGCAUAGGUUUGUAUGACCUUGCUCCUAGAAUUGGUUAGGUGAGCUCUUGCUGAGGUAGCACCUUGCUUGCUUGUUUAGGAUCUUUUCAAGGUGCUAUAGAACUUAGAUAGAGGGGUGUAGUCUUGGCUAGACCGAUAGUUUUAAUUCCACAUUUGUUUUAGUUAGCCGGCAUAAUAAAUUUUAAAAAGGACUAUUCACCUGCCAUCUCGACCCUUCAAGUGGUAUCGGAGCUAGAUCUCUCAUUUGUGGUCUUCACCGACCCAAGAGGAUGGCGGCUUAUGAGCU
rnacentral:lncRNA from 1 species